rnacentral:rRNA from 1 species
UUUUUACAAAAUGACUGAUCAAUACUGUGAGAACGAAAGUUCUUGCUUUAAACUAGAUAACAACUUUCAGCAGUGGAUGUCUAGGCUCGCACAUCGAUGAAGAACGCUGCGAACUGCGAUACGUAAUGCGAAUUGCAGAAUUCAGUGAGUCAUCGAAAUUUUGAACGCAUAUUGCACUUUCGGGUUAGACCUGGAAGUAUGUCUGUAUCAGUGUCCGUACAUCAAACUUGCCUCUCUUUUUUCUGUGUAGUCAGGAUUGGAGACGUGCAGAUGUGAAGUGUCUCGCGCACUUGCGUCUUCGGACGACAAGCUGUCGAGUCCUUUUAAAGCGACACGAUCUUUCUAUUGUUUCUGUGAAGCGUAUUGCUCGAACGCGGUGAUUUUCGGAUCGCUCGCAGUCGUCGGCGACUUCGGUGAGAACAUAAAGGAGGAAACCUCAAUUCGCGGUAUGUUCGGCUUCGGCUCGACAAUGUUGCUUAUUGUGUGUGGAAUCUGUUUUCGCCUUGAGGUGUACUGAUGGUUGUGUGCUUGAACUGGGAGUCGGUGUGUAGUAGAGUGGUGCAGCAUGCAUGGUUACGCCUUUUAUAUAGAGAGAUGUCUAUUUGGGAAAGUUGUACUUUUUGGCAAGCAUCUUGCCGACUGUAUCUCAAUUGGACCUGAUAUCAGACAAGACUACCCGCU